rnacentral:rRNA from 1 species
UACAGGGGGGGCAAGCGUUGUUCGGAAUUACUGGGCGUAAAGGGCUUGUAGGUGGCCAACUAAGUCACACGUGAAAUCCCCAGGCUUAACCUGGGAACUGCGUGUGAUACUGGAUGGCUUGAAUCCGGGAGAGGGAUGCGGAAUUCCAGGUGUAGCGGUGAAAUGCGUAGAUAUCUGGAGGAACACCGGUGGCGAAGGCGGCAUCCUGGACCGGUAUUGACGACUGAAGGCGACGAAAGCCAGGGGAGCAAAGCGGG